GUGCUCAGGGCUGGGGUAGCAGGGGUUGCAGGUCGGGAUUGAGGGGCACUGGCAGAGCUGGGGGGGCAGGGCUAGGGUAGCAGGGGCUGCGGUCGGGUUGAGGGGCACUGGCAGAGCUGGAGUGGUGCUCAGGGCUGGGGUAGCAGGGGUUGCAGGUCGGGAUUGAGGGGCACUGGCAGAGCUGGGGGGGCAGGGCUAGGGUAGCAGGGGCUGCGGUCGGGUUGAGGGGCACUGGCAGAGCUGGAGUGGUGCUCAGGGCUGGGGUAGCAGGGGUUGCAGGUCGGGAUUGAGGGGCACUGGCAGAGCUGGGGGGGCAGGGCUAGGGUAGCAGGGGCUGCGGUCGGG